rnacentral:rRNA from 1 species
UACGUAGGUGACAAGCGUUGUCCGGAUUUACUGGGCGUAAAGAGCGCGCAGGCGGUCGAUCAAGUCGAGUGUGAAAGCCCCCGGCUCAACUGGGGAGGGUCAUUCGAAACUGGUCGACUCGAAGGCAGGAGAGGGUAGUGGAAUUCCCGGUGUAGUGGUGAAAUGCGUAGAUAUCGGGAGGAACACCAGUGGCGAAGGCGACUACCUGGCCUGUUCUUGACGCUGAGGCGCGAAAGCUAGGGGAGCAAGACGGGG